GACGAACGCUGGCGGCGUGCUUAACACAUGCAAGUCGAACGGAAAGGCCCUGCUUUUGUGGGGUGCUCGAGUGGCGAACGGGUGAGUAACACUUGAGUAACCUGCCCUUGACUUUGGGAUAACUUCAUGAAACUGGGGCUCAUACCGCAUAGGAUCUCCUGCUGCAUGGUGGGGGUUGGAUAGUUUCGGCGGUUGGGGAUGGACUCGCGGCUUAUCAGCUUGUUGGUGGGGUAGUGGCUUACCAAGGCCUUGACGGGUAGCCGGCCUGAGAGGGUGACCGGCCAAAUUGGGACGGAGAUACGGCCCAGACUCGUACGGGAGGCAGCAGUGGGGAAGAUUGCACAAUGGGCGGAAGGAUGAUGCAGCAAAGCAGCGUGGGGGAAGAGGGGCUGCGGGUUGGAAACCGCUUUCGCCUGUGACGAAGCGUGAGUGACGGUAAUGGGUAAAGAAGCACCGGCUAACUACGUG
rnacentral:rRNA from 1 species